AAGAACGACUCUCGGCAACGGAUAUCUCGGCUCUCGCAUCGAUGAAGAACGUAGCGAAAUGCGAUACUUGGUGUGAAUUGCAGAAUCCCGUGAACCAUCGAGUCUUUGAACGCAAGUUGCGCCUGAAGCCAUCAGGUCAAGGGCACGUCUGCCUGGGCGUCACACGC
rnacentral:rRNA from 1 species